GAUGAACGCUAGCGAUAGGCUUAACACAUGCAAGUCGCGGGGCAGCACAAGGUAGCUUGCUAUCUGGGUGGCGACCGGCGCACGGGUGCGUAACGCGUAUGCAACUUGCCCUAUACAGGAGGAUAACCCGUCGAAAGACGGACUAAUACUGCGUAUGCUCACAACUUGGCAUCAAGUGGUGAGGAAAGAAAUUCGGUAUAGGAUAGGCAUGCGUCCCAUUAGCUUGUUGGUGAGGUAACGGCUCACCAAGGCAACGAUGGGUAGGGGAACUGAGAGGUUUAUCCCCCACACUGGUACUGAGACACGGACCAGACUCCUACGGGAGGCAGCAGUGAGGAAUAUUGAUCAAUGGGCGCGAGCCUGAACCAGCCAAGUCGCGUGAAGGAUGACUGUCUUAUGGAUUGUAAACUUCUUUUAUACGGGAAUAACAAGAGUCACGUGUGACUCCCUGCAUGUACCGUAUGAAUAAGCAUCGGCUAACUCCGUG
rnacentral:rRNA from 1 species